UAUAUUAAAGUUGUUGCGGUUAAAAAGCUCGUAGUUGGAUCUCAGUUCCGGACCGACGGUGCGCCCUCGGCGAUUUACUGUCGGUCCGAACAGCUAGUCGGCUCGCUCGGGGUGCUCUUCACCGGGUGUCCCGCGUGGCCGGCAUGUUUACUUUGAAAAAAUUAGAGUGCUCAAAGCAGGCUAAUGCCUGAAUAGUUGUGCAUGGAAUAAUGGAAUAGGACCUCGGUUCUAUUUUGUUGGUUUUCGGAACCCGAGGUAAUGAUUAAUAGAGACGGACGGGGGCAUUCGUAUUGCGACGCUAGAGGUGAAAUUCUUGGACCGUCGCAAGACGUACUACUGCGAAAGCAUUUGCCAAGAACGUUCUCAUUAAUCAAGAACGAAAGUUAGAGGUUCGAAGGCGAUCAGAUACCGCCCUAGUUCUAACCAUAAACGAUGCUGACUAGCGAUCCGUCUGUGUUAAUCCCAUGACUAGACGGGCAGCUUCCGGGAAACCAAAGUCUUUGAGUUCCGGGGGAAGUAUGGUUGCAAAGCUGAAACUUAAAGGAAUUGACGGAAGGGCACCACCAGGAGUGGAGCCUGCGGCUUAAUUUGACUCAACACGGGGAACCUCACCAGGCCCGGACACCGGAAGGAUUGACAGAUUGAGAGCUCUUUCUUGAUUCGGUGGGUGGUGGUGCAUGGCCGUUCUUAGUUGGUGGAGCGAUUUGUCUGGUUAAUUCCGAUAACGAACGAGAUUUUAGCCUGCUAACUAGUCGGCGGAUUACAUAUCGUGUCCGCCGCAGCUUCUAGAGGGAUAAGCGGCAUCUAGCCGC
rnacentral:rRNA from 1 species